rnacentral:rRNA from 2 species
CUGGGGGUGAAAGGCCAAUCAAACCGGGAGAUAGCUGGUUCUCCCCGAAAGCUAUUUAGGUAGCGCCUCGUGAAUUCAUCUCCGGGGGUAGAGCACUGUUUCGGCUAGGGGGCCAUCCCGGCUUACCAACCCGAUGCAAACUGCGAAUACCGGAGAAUGUUAUCACGGGAGACACACGGCGGGUGCUAACGUCCGUCGUGAAGAGGGAAACAACCCAGACCGCCAGCUAAGGUCCCAAAGUCAUGGUUAAGUGGGAAACGAUGUGGGAAGGCCCAGACAGCCAGGAUGUUGGCUUAGAAGCAGCCAUCAUUUAAAGAAAGCGUAAUAGCUCACUGGUCGAGUCGGCCUGCGCGGAAGAUGUAACGGGGCUAAACCAU